rnacentral:rRNA from 1 species
GACGAACGCUGGCGGCGUGCUUAACACAUGCAAGUCGAACGGUGAAGCGCCUUCCUUUUUGGUGGGUGUGGAUGAGUGGCGAACGGGUGAGUAACACGUGAGUAACCUGCCCCCUUCUUCUGGAUAACCGCAUGAAAGUGUGGCUAAUACGGGAUAUUCUGGUUCUGUCGCAUGAUGGGUCUGGGAAAGAUAUUGUUUCGGUAGGGGAUGGGUUCGCGGCCUAUCAGCUUGUUGGUGGGGUGAUGGCCUACCAAGGCGGUCACGGGUAGCCGGCCUGAGGGGGUGGACGGUCACACAGGGAGUGAGACACGGCCCAGACUCCUACGGGAGGCAGCAGUGGGGAAUAGUGCACAAUGGGCGCAAGCCUGAUGCAGCCACGCCGCGUGAGGGAUGGAGGCCUUCGGGUUGUGAACCUCUUUCGCCAGUGAAGCAGGCCUGCCUCGUUUGUGGGUGGGUUGACGGUAGCUGGAUAAGAAGCGCCGGCUAACUACGUG